UGCACAGUGCAGGACUGUGUUUGUUAAAGAACUGUAAACAUGACUGGUAGAUACACUCAGACCCAGUGGUCUGGGUACUUUCACUGUUACAGACACAUCAGAAGUCAGCUGUCAUAGGCGCCCUUUCUCAGCAAUCAUCCAAGAAGGAAAUUCAAACAUCCGUUAGCAUGUUUAUAUGAGUUUAAAGUUGUUUCUUUUUCAAAAGUGGUCCAUAUGCAGCUGCUAGUGUAUUAUUGCAGAUGAACUAGUAUGUCAAAGAAGCUAUAGCAAUUGUAUUAUGACCUGAGGGUUUUGUUUUGUUUUGUUGAAAUAACAUUAAACCCUAGAGCCCAGUCUAAGAAUUGACUGUAGUCUACAGUGGUAAUUGCAUUAUUCUAAAGGGAAUUAAAUUAACUUUUCCAGUACUAUUGAUAUUUCGUCAGGGUCUCUGGUACUCAUACCACUGGCCUAUCAUCAACAACAUCAAACGGGGGCAGCUUCAAGUAUUUUCUUCUGGGUAUUCUAAAUUGUAGGAAGCAUCAGCUAACUGCUGAGACCCUGUGCGGUCACUGGAAACAAGGAGCUUCUUGUCUCUCUAGCCCAAACUUCUUGCAUUAGGAGAUGAAAGCAAACGGGUGCCUGGCAGCUGAUAAGAAAGCAUUGGGUUGCCUCUUUGGAGUCCGGAGCAGCGUGCCUCAGCCUUCGUGGCUCAGUGCUGUCAGAGGAUUUCAAACUGAGACGCCGGCAGACUUAAUGUUGACCCGCCAGGUACCCGAUGAAGAGUCUUGGCAGAGUGCGAGAAAGCCACCUCUACUGCUCCCCUGCAGGGGUGUAGGAACAAGCCAGGAGCAGAAAUUCCUUUGAGAGCAAGGCACCUGUGGCUGCUGAUGGUGUUGUCAGAUCUCCUGGCACCAUUUUACCCGGGUAAGUAUAAAAUUUACAUCUGAGAACACCGGCUUCCUCCACUGCCUUCAGCAAUGGGACCUCUGCAGCAGCUGGCCUCAUCCCAUCAUUUCCAGACUCCAAUGGCAAGAGGGGACUCUGGACUCCUACUCCUAAGCCCCUCCAAUUCAAAGACUCAGCCCCAGUCACAGCAUCCUCUCUUAUCCUCAUGAGCCACAUUGGGUCCAUUGACAAAUCUCACUGGAGUCACUUCCAAAACACCUCUCCAAUCAGACCUGAAAGAUGAGUCUACUGUCCCCACACAAACUAAAGCACAGGGGCUGCCUCUGCCUGAGGAACAGAUCUUAGAGCAUAGGUGUGCUGGGUAGACACAAGAUAAAGUCAUCUGAGAAGAGGGAACCUCAAUUAAGAAAACGUCCCCAUAAGAUCGGGCUGGGCUGUAGGCAAGCUUGCCAGUAAGUAGCAUUUCUCUGUGGCCUCUGCAUCAGC